GUGGCCUAGUGGUUAGAGCGUCCGCCUCGGAUGCAGGAAAUCGCGGGUUAGAACCCUGACCAAGCCA